rnacentral:tRNA from 1 species
GCUAGUUUGGCAGAGUAGUGUUUUGAAGUUAGAUUUCAAUAAUGUAACGAGGGUUAGUUACAAUUAGUA